CAGCUAACGCAUUAAGUUAUCCGCCUGGGGAGUACGGUCGCAAGAUUAAAACUCAAAGGAAUUGACGGGGGCCUGCACAAGGGAGCAUGUGGUUUAAUUCGAAGCAACGCGCAGAACCUUACCAGCCUUUGACAUCCCGCGCUACUUCCAGAGAUGGAAGGUUCCCUUCGGGGACGCGGUGACAGGUGCUGCAUGGCUGUCGUCAGCUCGUGUCGUGAGAUGUUGGGUUAAGUCCCGCAACGAGCGCAACCCUCGUCCUUAGUUGCCAUCAUUUAGUUGGGCACUCUAAGGAAACCGCCGGUGAUAAGCCGGAGGAAGGUGGGGAUGACGUCAAGUCCUCAUGGCCCUUACAGGCUGGGCUACACACGUGCUACAAUGGCGGUGACAGUGGGCAGCAAGCACGCGAGUGUGAGCUAAUCUCCAAAAGCCGUUCAGUUCGGAUUGUUCUCUGCAACUCGAGAGCAGAAGGCGGAAUCGCUAGUAAUAAGAU
rnacentral:rRNA from 1 species